GAGUUUGAUCCUGGCUCAGGAUGAACGCUGGCGGCGUGCCUAAUACAUGCAAGUCGAGCGAACGGACGAGAAGCUUGCUUCUCUGAUGUUAGCGGCGGACGGGUGAGUAACACGUGGAUAACCUACCUAUAAGACUGGGAUAACUUCGGGAAACCGGAGCUAAUACCGGAUGAUAUUUUGAACCGCAUGGUUCAAAAGUGAAAGACGGUCUUGCUGUCACUUAUAGAUGGAUCCGCGCUGCAUUAGCUAGUUGGUAAGGUAACGGCUUACCAAGGCAACGAUGCAUAGCCGACCUGAGAGGGUGAUCGGCCACACUGGAACUGAGACACGGUCCAGACUCCUACGGGAGGCAGCAGUAGGGAAUCUUCCGCAAUGGGCGAAAGCCUGACGGAGCAACGCCGCGUGAGUGAUGAAGGUCUUCGGAUCGUAAAACUCUGUUAUUAGGGAAGAACAUAUGUGUAAGUAACUGUGCACAUCUUGACGGUACCUAAUCAGAAAGCCACGGCUAACUACGUGCCAGCAGCCGCGGUAAUACGUAGGUGGCAAGCGUUAUCCGGAAUUAUUGGGCGUAAAGCGCGCGUAGGCGGUUUUUUAAGUCUGAUGUGAAAGCCCACGGCUCAACCGUGGAGGGUCAUUGGAAACUGGAAAACUUGAGUGCAGAAGAGGAAAGUGGAAUUCCAUGUGUAGCGGUGAAAUGCGCAGAGAUAUGGAGGAACACCAGUGGCGAAGGCGACUUUCUGGUCUGUAACUGACGCUGAUGUGCGAAAGCGUGGGGAUCAAACAGGAUUAGAUACCCUGGUAGUCCACGCCGUAAACGAUGAGUGCUAAGUGUUAGGGGGUUUCCGCCCCUUAGUGCUGCAGCUAACGCAUUAAGCACUCCGCCUGGGGAGUACGACCGCAAGGUUGAAACUCAAAGGAAUUGACGGGGACCCGCACAAGCGGUGGAGCAUGUGGUUUAAUUCGAAGCAACGCGAAGAACCUUACCAAAUCUUGACAUCCUUUGACAACUCUAGAGAUAGAGCCUUCCCCUUCGGGGGACAAAGUGACAGGUGGUGCAUGGUUGUCGUCAGCUCGUGUCGUGAGAUGUUGGGUUAAGUCCCGCAACGAGCGCAACCCUUAAGCUUAGUUGCCAUCAUUAAGUUGGGCACUCUAAGUUGACUGCCGGUGACAAACCGGAGGAAGGUGGGGAUGACGUCAAAUCAUCAUGCCCCUUAUGAUUUGGGCUACACACGUGCUACAAUGGACAAUACAAAGGGCAGCGAAACCGCGAGGUCAAGCAAAUCCCAUAAAGUUGUUCUCAGUUCGGAUUGUAGUCUGCAACUCGACUACAUGAAGCUGGAAUCGCUAGUAAUCGUAGAUCAGCAUGCUACGGUGAAUACGUUCCCGGGUCUUGUACACACCGCCCGUCACACCACGAGAGUUUGUAACACCCGAAGCCGGUGGAGUAACCUUUUAGGAGCUAGCCGUCGAAGGUGGGACAAAUGAUUGGGGUGAAGUCGUAACAAGGUAGCCGUAUCGGAAGGUGCGGCUGGAUCACC
rnacentral:rRNA from 6 species